rnacentral:precursor_RNA from 15 species
GGUGCUGUACCACCUGUGGUAGUGAUGGUGAAAGUGCUAGCGUAGAAACGGCAGAUGCUUUUCAUGCUCUCUUUGCUAGCGCUUCCACCAAGGUUACCACUGACGACGCAGAUGCAC